UCAUUCAUACGUGAAACUAUCUCUGUUAAAGCAUCAUGUAAUACUUAGACCCAAGAAAAAGGUAUCAUGUAGUACGUAUAAUGUAUUAAGUUGCUUACUUUGGCCCGAAAACGAAUGAAAAUUAGAAGGCAUCGCUGGCAGCAUAUAUUUACACUCUUUCAUGUAGUACGUAUAAUGUAUUAAGUUGCUUACUUUGGCCCGAAAACGAAUGAAAAUUAGAAGGCAUCGCUGGCAGCAUAUAUUUACGCUCUUUCAUUUGAUAUUAUGGAAAAUAUUACUCGGAAAUAAAGUGUUUUUG
rnacentral:lncRNA from 1 species